CCCGCGAGCGAGCAGCGAAGAGCAGGAGCGCAGGACAGCUGCCAUCGGGCUUACCAGCGCUUGCGACGUCGCGGCUGUCAUAGCCGGAGCUGUCAGCUCUGUGAGGGGGCAAUCUGUCACCGGCUGCCUGCUUGCUGCGCGGUGGAAAUCGGUCGCAGACUCCGGUAGCUCAACUGCAGUGGUUAAACCCGACAUAGGCGUUCGCAGCUGAUCGCAACAGGAGUGGAGCACCAAUUCGAUCUUCGCUUCAGCAACCGCGAUCACCAGGGGUUGGCUCCCAG
rnacentral:lncRNA from 1 species